GCCCACCAAAAUCCACACCACAGCAGUACUAGUACACCGAGCCAAAGAAGAGAAUGUUCUUGGAUCCCCUUCCCUGUCUGCCACAACAUUCCUACUCCCCCACCCUCCUUCCAGUCCUCAUAAACAAACAAACCAACAAACCUUCCUCCUCCUCCUCUUCCUCCUCCUCCGGCGGCACCACUGGUCAUCGACCUCUCUUCCUCAUCUUCUUCUUCCGGGACGGUCUAUUCCUUCGUUGAGUCGGGAUCUUGGGCGGGAGAAUCCAGGAGUAAUUCGCCGGGUGGGUUUAGUUAGGUACCACACUAAUCCAAAGGCCCGCCGGCCCUUCUUUUCCACGUCUCCAGAGGUCGCCGGAAUCUCUCCUCUUCUCCUCACCCAGUGGAUGUGCAAUCUCGUGUCGGCUCUCCGCGUAAUCUGGACGCUCUUCGCCUUCCACAUCGCAGCAACGUCUCGCGGGAUUUUGGGCUAGAUUGAGGUUUUGCGUGCGUGUGCCUGUGUGGGGAAAGUGCUUUCCUUUUCUCUCUUUUUUCCCCUUGGUUCCGCGAGGAUUUGGUUCUGGUGUGUGCGGGGGGCCGGAAUCUCUCUCUGCCUUUGAUCCCAAGCAACCGGCCGCCUCGUUCAUGUAGUGCGGCAUCCAUUGGAACCUGGGACUCCUAACAUGG
rnacentral:lncRNA from 1 species